UUUAUUAUUAAUAUUAUUUUAUUAGCAAUGGCGCACGGGUGAGUAAUAUAUAAAGAUUUUUUUUUUUUUUUUAAUUAAAUUGAAUUGAAAAAAAAAGUUUAUAUAAGAUUAAAUAGUUGGUGAUUAAAGAUUACCAAGUUUACAAUCUUUAGUUGAUUUUUGAGAAUGAUCAGCCACAUUGGAAUUGAAAAACGGUCCAAACUUUUUAAAAAGGCAGCAGUGAGGAAUCUUAGGCAAUGAGUGCAAGCUUGACCUAGCUAAAUUAUGUAUAUGAUGAAGGUAUUUAAUCGUAAAUUAUAAAAAAAAUUUAAAUUAUGAUAAAUUUUUUUAAAUCCUGGCUAAUUUCGUGCCAGCAGCCGCGGUAAAACGAGGAGGGUAAGCGUUAUUCGGAUUGAUUGGGCGUAAAGGAUACGUAGGUGGAAAAUUAAUUAAAAAAACUAAUGUUAAAAUUACUUUAAACUACGUUUUUUAAAAGUUUUUUCUCGAGUUUAUAAAAAGAUUGUAGAAUUUUAAAUGUAACGGUAAAAUGUUUUGAUAUUUAAAAGAAUUUCAAUAGCGAAGGCAACAAUCUGAGAUAAAACUGACACUGAGGUAUUAAAGCAUGGGUAUCAAAGGGGAUUAGAGACCCCCGUAGUCCAUCGCUGUCAACGAUG
rnacentral:rRNA from 1 species